AUUGAACGCUGGCGGCAUGCCUUACACAUGCAAGUCGAAACGGCAGCACGGGUGCUUGCACCUGGUGGCGAGUGGCGAACGGGUGAGUAAUACAUCGGAACAUGUCCUGUAGUGGGGGAUAGCCCGGCGAAAGCCGGAUUAAUACCGCAUACGAUCUACGGAUGAAAGCGGGGGACCUUCGGGCCUCGCGCUAUAGGGUUGGCCGAUGGCUGAUUAGCUAGUUGGUGGGGUAAAGGCCUACCAAGGCGACGAUCAGUAGCUGGUCUGAGAGGACGACCAGCCACACUGGGACUGAGACACGGCCCAGACUCCUACGGGAGGCAGCAGUGGGGAAUUUUGGACAAUGGGCGAAAGCCUGAUCCAGCAAUGCCGCGUGUGUGAAGAAGGCCUUCGGGUUGUAAAGCACUUUUGUCCGGAAAGAAAUCCUUGGCCCUAAUACGGUCGGGGGAUGACGGUACCGGAAGAAUAAGCACCGGCUAACUACGUG
rnacentral:rRNA from 1 species